rnacentral:rRNA from 1 species
AUGAGCUUGUGGUGUCGAGGAGGCUUUAUCAGAGCUGCUACGGCUCGACUUGACCACGUUCUGAAUGUGGUUUCAGCGGAAGUGGCGGCGCUGUUGGAAGGGCUUAAAUUAGCACAAGGUACUGGAUGCAACAAUCUCCUAGUACAUAUGGACAAUCUGAUAGUGGUGGAAGCAUUGCAAAAUAAUGAGGGAUACUCAAUGGUGGAGGCCCCUAUCAUUCAAGAUUGUCGAGAGUUGAUGAGAGAGUUCGGGAAGGUUGUUAUAGAACAUUGUAAUAGAGAGUCUAAUUGCACAUGA